rnacentral:snRNA from 1 species
AUUGCUUCUCGGCCUUUUGGCUAAGAUCAAGUGUAGUAUGAAUUUCAUUCAUUAUUUCUCAGUACAAAGUUUAUUGUCUUCUCAAAAAUUCUUUUUUGGGGGCGGGGGAUGUAGUUUCAGGCCACACCUGGCAAUGCUCAGGGAUUACUCCUGGCUCUGAAGUUGAAACUCAC